UGGGGAAUUUUGGACAAUGGGCGAAAGCCUGAUCCAGCAAUGCCGCGUGUGUGAGGAAGGCCUUCGGGUUGUAAAGCACUUUUGUCCGGAAAGAAAUCCUCUGGGUUAAUACCUCGGGGGGAUGACGGUACCGGAAGAAUAAGCACCGGCUAACUACGUGCCAGCAGCCGCGGUAAUACGUAGGGUGCAAGCGUUAAUCGGAAUUACUGGGCGUAAAGCGUGCGCAGGCGGUUUGCUAAGACCGAUGUGAAAUCCCCGGGCUCAACCUGGGAACUGCAUUGGUGACUGGCAGGCUAGAGUAUGGCAGAGGGGGGUAGAAUUCCACGUGUAGCAGUGAAAUGCGUAGAGAUGUGGAGGAAUACCGAUGGCGAAGGCAGCCCCCUGGGCCAAUACUGACGCUCAUGCACGAAAGCGUGGGGAGCAAACAGGAUUAGAUACCCUGGUAGUCCACGCCCUAAACGAUGUCAACUAGUUGUUGGGGAUUCAUUUCCUUAGUAACGUAGCUAACGCGUGAAGUUGACCGCCUGGGGAGUACGGUCGCAAGAUUAAAACUCAAAGGAAUUGACGGGGUCAUAGCUG
rnacentral:rRNA from 1 species